AGGAGAGUUUGAUCAUGGCUCAGAUUGAACGCUGGCGGCAGGCUUAACACAUGCAAGUCGAGCGGUAACAUUUCUAGCUUGCUAGAAGAUGACGAGCGGCGGACGGGUGAGUAACGCGUAGGAAUCUACCAAGUAGUGGGGGAUAGCCCGGAGAAAUCCGGAUUAAUACCGCAUACGCCCUACGGGGGAAAGGAGGGGAUCUUCGGACCUUUCGCUAUUUGAUGAGCCUGCGUGAGAUUAGCUAGUUGGUGGGGUAAAGGCUCACCAAGGCGACGAUCUCUAGCUGGUUUGAGAGGAUGACCAGCCACACUGGGACUGAGACACGGCCCAGACUCCUACGGGAGGCAGCAGUGGGGAAUAUUGCACAAUGGGCGCAAGCCUGAUGCAGCCAUGCCGCGUGUGUGAAGAAGGCCUUCGGGUUGUAAAGCACUUUCAGCGAGGAGGAAAGGAAUGCGGUUAAUACCCGUGUUCUGUGACGUUACUCGCAGAAGAAGCACCGGCUAACUCCGUGCCAGCAGCCGCGGUAAUACGGAGGGUGCGAGCGUUAAUCGGAAUUACUGGGCGUAAAGCG
rnacentral:rRNA from 1 species